GAAUCUUCCUCAAUGGACGAAAGUCUGCUGGAGCACUGCCGCUGGAGUGAAGACAGUCUUCGGAUUGUAAAGCACAUUACGUUGGGAGGAAGGGCAGUAAGAGAAUACCUUGCUGUUUUGACGUUACCGACAGAAUAAGCACCGUCUACCCCUAUGCCAGCCGCCGCGGUAUUACAGAGGGUGGAAGCGUUAAUCGGAAUUACUGGGCGUAAAGCGCGCGUAGGUGGUUCGUUAAGUUGGAUGUGGAAUCCACGGGCUCAACCUGGGAACUGCAUCCAAAACUGGCGAGCUAGAGUAGGGCAGACGGUAGUGGAACUUCCUGUGUAGCGGUGAAAUGCGUAGAUAUAGGAAGGAACACCAGUGGCGAAGGCGACCACCUGGGCUCAUACUGACACUGAGGUGCGAAAGCGUGGGGAGCAAACA
rnacentral:rRNA from 1 species